rnacentral:ncRNA from 1 species
UUCAAACAGGAGUCAUGCGUUGGACAGUUAUCCUGAACUUAAUAAUAAGGCAAGCUAGCGCAAAAAUUCCUGUCGCUGCUUGCCGGUCCCGGCGGGCAGCAAUCCCAC